rnacentral:misc_RNA from 1 species
UUUUGAUCUUGACAACAAAAAAUUUCAUUAACAAAAAUUAAAAAACAUAUUUACAUUUUAACUACAAAUCACAAUAUUACAAAAUUGUAGCAAAUGAAUUGAAAAAUAGAGGAGAUGUUCCGGUGCCAGUUGUUGACAAUCGAUUGUGAGCAUCCAUGUCCUUGAGCCCAACCUCUCAAUGUUUGAGCAGCCACUCAUCUGAUGAGCAUGUGAUAUACAUGAAUUUCUUUUAUUUAAAUUGAUAACAAAACAAAGAAAGAAAUGAACAAAGAAAAGAAAUGAAC